UCUCGGCAAAUUAUCCUCAUAAGUUUGACAAUAAGAGGAACCACUAAUGUUAGACUCCUUACUUGCUCAUGCUUCUCGGCAAAUUAUCCUCAUAAGUUCGACGACAAGAGGAACCAUUUUUAAGAAAUUAAUAACUCCAUUAAAUUUAUUAAUCUCUUAUGUGGUGGCACAAAAUCGGAAGCCCCGACUGUUUACUAAAAACACAGCUAUCUGCAACGAUGUAAAUCUUAGUAUAGGUAGUGAGGUUUGCCCGAUGCCAUUAAUAUAAGAGAAGUGAUGGGUAACUGUUAAUUAUCGAAAAUCUGGUUAAUAGCGGUCUUAACUAUGAGGAUCCUAAGGUAGCAAAAUAAAUUGGCCAUUAAAUGUGGUCCGGUAUCAAUAAUUUAACGAUGGCUUCACUGUCUCUACAACUUGCUCAGUGAAAUUGAAUUACCCGUGCAGAUGCGGGUUGCCACCAGGGGGACGGGAAGACCCUAUGCAGCUUCUACUAAUGAAAUUGAAUUAUCCUUGCAGAUGCGGAUUGCCUCCAGGUGGACGGGAAGACCCUAUGCAGCUUCUACUUA
rnacentral:rRNA from 1 species